UACAGAGGUCCCAAGCGUUGUUCGGAUUCAUUGGGCGUAAAGGGUGCGUAGGUGGCGCCGUAAGUCAGGUGUGAAAUUUCGGAGCUUAACUCCGAAACUGCAUUUGAUACUGCGGUGCUUGAGGACUGGAGAGGAGACUGGAAUUCACGGUGUAGCAGUGAAAUGCGUAGAGAUCGUGAGGAAGACCAGUGGCGAAGGCGGGUCUCUGGACAGUUCCUGACACUGAGGCACGAAGGCCAGGGGAGCAAACGGG
rnacentral:rRNA from 1 species